UCCCUCUGACCACACCAAAGAGCAUUUAACAUGCAUGAUGGUCUCAGGUCAAGAAUAUGUUAAAUAGUUGACAGCUAUGUGGCCUCUAGCUUUCCACGAGAGAGGAAGUCACUGCCCAUCAUAUAAUGCUUUAAUUUGAGAAACUCAACUGAUGUCUGUGGAGUAGAGAACACAAACGAACAACGUAACAUGGAACUCUUUAACAUGAUAUAUAUACAAAGACUAUUGAGGCAGAGAAAUCAAUAGGAAAAUUUAAAACUAAGGGAGAAGGCAUUUUGAACCAUUCAGCUAAGAAUUUGGUCAGUAUUAAAAAGCCAAUAAUUCCAGAAAAAUCCACCAAGUUAUGUUCAUAGUCUUAGCAGAAUAAAAAUAAGGUUUACUAGCUAAA